CAUGCAAGUCGAGCGGUAGAGAGAAGCUUGCUUCUCUUGAGAGCGGCGGACGGGUGAGUAAUACCUAGGAAUCUGCCUGAUAGUGGGGGAUAACGUUCGGAAACGGACGCUAAUACCGCAUACGUCCUACGGGAGAAAGCAGGGGACCUUCGGGCCUUGCGCUAUCAGAUGAGCCUAGGUCGGAUUAGCUAGUUGGUGAGGUAAUGGCUCACCAAGGCUACGAUCCGUAACUGGUCUGAGAGGAUGAUCAGUCACACUGGAACUGAGACACGGUCCAGACUCCUACGGGAGGCAGCAGUGGGGAAUAUUGGACAAUGGGCGAAAGCCUGAUCCAGCCAUGCCGCGUGUGUGAAGAAGGUCUUCGGAUUGUAAAGCACUUUAAGUUGGGAGGAAGGGCAGUUACCUAAUACGUGAUUGUUUUGACGUUACCGACAGAAUAAGCACCGGCUAACUCUGUGCCAGCAGCCGCGGUAAUACAGAGGGUGCAAGCGUUAAUCGGAAUUACUGGGCGUAAAGCGCGCGUAGGUGGUUUGUUAAGUUGAAUGUGAAAUCCCCGGGCUCAACCUGGGAACUGCAUCCAAAACUGGCAAGCUAGAGUAUGGUAGAGGGUAGUGGAAUUUCCUGUGUAGCGGUGAAAUGCGUAGAUAUAGGAAGGAACACCAGUGGCGAAGGCGACUACCUGGACUGAUACUGA
rnacentral:rRNA from 1 species